rnacentral:rRNA from 1 species
GACGAACGCUGGCGGCGUGCCUAAUACAUGCAAGUCGAGCGGAGUGGUUAAGAGCUUGCUCUUAUGACGUUAGCGGCGAACGGGUGAGUAACGCGUGGGCAACCUGCCCUGUAGAGGGGGAUAACAGCGAGAAAUGGGUGCUAAUACCGCAUAAGCUCAGGGAUCACCUUCGGUUUGGGUAAAAGGUGGCUCCUGCUAUCACUACAGGAUGGCCCCGCGGUGCAUUAGCUAGUUGGUAAGGUCAUGGCUUAUCAAGGCGUCGAUGCGGAGCCGACCUGCGAGGGUGACGGGCCACACCGGGACUGAGACACGGCCCAGCCACCUACGGGAUGCAGCACGAGCGAAUCUUCCGCGAGGGGCGGCAGUCUGACGUAGUAACGCCGCGUGAGUGAUGAAGGGUUUCGGCGCGGAAUGCACUGUUGUUAGGGAAGAAACAGUACCGCACGAAGUAGGUCGGUACCUUGACGGUACCUAACAAGAAAGCCACGGCUAACUACGUG